rnacentral:lncRNA from 1 species
UCAUUCGACGCAGGGGGGUUUCAACUCAUUACAAUGUAGGCCUAAUCCCUCCGCCGCAAACCCUAACCCUAACCCUCCGCGGCUGAUAAGUGCGUAACCCUAAACCUAACCACUACUACCUUAACUCUAACCUGUUUCAGUGCCAUAUCAAAUAACCAAUCGGAGGAGAGAAAAAAGAUUUGCGGGAGCGCUUUCUGGGCGUCAGAUAUCACCGUGGAGGGAUUUGGGAGGGAGUUGAAUAUCACCUGCGUCGAAUGUAGACGCACAAGGACACCCUCUGCGUCAGCAUUUAACGCCAAAAGCCCCCAAAAAGCGACGAUUUUUGACGAACUCGAAAUGAGACUGUGUUGUCAGACAAAGUAACCCUUCACGUCUAUCUACCGGCUAUGUGGCUGCUGUCAUUCAGAACACAGCGGUACAGGCCGUGGACUGUAAAUGUUACUAGGUUUUGAGCUGGCAAAUUGCCGUGGCAGAUUUCCCGGAAUAUUCAAAUGUCAGUCUUCGAGACUGUCCCAGUUUAAAAAAACAUAUUCACCAAGAAAACAACCAACAAACCAAAACCAACCAACUCAUUUCAAAGUGGGCUCUAAUCGAAUAUUUAUGUACAAUCCUUUAGAUUAAAAUACAAAUGAAUAUGGACACAUUUGGAUUCAUCUUUAUUGGUGAGUAACAGUCUAUCUUUAUCUAUAGCCUACACACACACACACACACACAUAUAUAUAUAUAUAUAUAUAUAUAUAUAUAUAUAUAUAUAUACAUACACACACACACUGUAUAUUGAAUCGUCACCGACAAGAACAAUGGUUUUGAUAGUCCUCUCCCUAAAACACGUUUACAGUUUUAACAAUUAUAUCAAGAGUGGAUCCGGCUGAAACGACGAGUAGGCCUACUGCAGUACCAACAAGAAAACCUACUACCCCGGACUCCACACAGCCUCCUACAGCAGGCGAAGGGACAUCAUCUUUGACAUUCAGUUUGAGACGCACAUUUGAAAGCUCUAUGUCAGAUCCUACUUCCACAGCUUAUCAGAGCCUGGCUAAGGAAGUCACAAGAGAGGUAAACAAAGGCUACAGAGCCAUAUUUCCACUCACUUAUUCCCGAUGUGUAAUUAGGUCUUUCAGUAAUGGCUCAAUCCGUGUGGCUAUGAGUAUGGUCUACCAUAACAAGACAGUUGUUCCGACUGGAAUGCUGGUAGAGGAGGCACUGCGGGACGUGAUCAUCUCAGGGAUCAUCGACCUCAACGUGAACGUUUCUACUAUUUCCACAACAACCAACACCUCAGGAGGACCCACUCUGAAAAUGACCAUCACAACUGCAUUUUGUUUGCCUUUCUUGUUGACGGUCUUCAAAGGAAUGUUGUCCAGUACAUAGUACCCUCAUGUCUUGUCUUAUAUUGAAGGUGGAGUUACUUUUUACUCCUACUAUUGUUACCUUGUGUUGAAAUAUUCCCAUGACCAAUGACAUCAACAUGCUUAGGUGUUAAGUUAGUUAGUUAUAAGUCAGCACCCAUUUCGAUAAUGGUAAGAAGAAUUUGAGAUAUUGAUCGUUUCCACUGCUUAGCAGUGUCAAUCAAAUAUAAUUUAAACAUAUUUAUUUCAUUUUCACCGAAAGUGGAAACUGAGUGCAAAAGAAAGCACUUAAAUAAAUAACUGAACUAUGAUCAACCUUGCAGUAUGAGCUCCUUUAGGUCUUUUGACAGUUCAAUGCCAUAUGCCAAGAAUGGCAAAUAUAAUAUAAGAGACAUUUGGCAAUGAAGAAAAUAAUAACUUAUAUCAUAAGUAUAUUUCUAUAUAAAUUCUAUGUUAUAUUUAAUCAUAUUUGUUUCAUAGACUAUUUGUUACACUUGGGUCAGUCUCAGAUAGUUUGUUUUUUUAUAAACCUACCUCUGAGGUAUGAUCCAAUAAAGGUCAGAAUCAGAGAUAGGGCAUGUAACGGCACCAGUUCUGAGAUUCAUGAUGAAGAUCUGACAACUUAAAUUAAAAAAGACAGCAAGUUAUGUUUUGUAUUUCUAACAGCCGGGGGUUGAACAGUGAGUUGCUGCCAGAGCUAGCUGUUGUUCCACAUAUAAAGUAUUUGUUUGUGUUUGCUAUAUGUUCUUACAGCAAAACAAGCAUUGAGUGCUAUCUGUCAAGAUAUAGCUAAAUCUUGUUGAACUAAUAAAAUGUAUGUUGUAACUCCAUAUUACACUGCUCAUAGAUGAGUACAAUAAACUAUAAUCCAUUGGAGCCUACCUGUAUUGUAUUAUGGGGUUAAUUAUUGUUAUGAAUCGCCAUACUCAUAUUGAAUGUGACACUGUGUAGGUA